GAUGAACGCUGGCGGCGUGCCUAAUACAUGCAAGUCGAGCGAACGGACGAGAAGCUUGCUUCUCUGAUGUUAGCGGCGGACGGGUGAGUAACACGUGGAUAACCUACCUAUAAGACUGGGAUAACUUCGGGAAACCGGAGCUAAUACCGGAUAAUAUUUUGAACCGCAUGGUUCAAAAGUGAAAGACGGUCUUGCUGUCACUUAUAGAUGGAUCCGCGCUGCAUUAGCUAGUUGGUAAGGUAACGGCUUACCAAGGCAACGAUGCAUAGCCGACCUGAGAGGGUGAUCGGCCACACUGGAACUGAGGCACGGUCCAGACUCCUACGGGAGGCAGCAGUAGGGAAUCUUCCGCAAAGGGCGAAAGCCUGACGGAGCAACGCCGCGUGAGUGAUGAAGGUCUUCGGAUCGUAAAACUCUGUUAUUAGGGAAGAACAUAUGUGUAAGUAACUGUGCACAUCUUGACGGCACCUAAUCAGAAAGCCACGGCUAACUACGUG
rnacentral:rRNA from 1 species